UACGUAGGGUGCAAGCGUUGUCCGGAAUUAUUGGGCGUAAAGAGCUCGUAGGCGGUUUGUCGCGUCUGCUGUGAAAACGCGAGGCUCAACCUCGCGCCUGCAGUGGGUACGGGCAGACUAGAGUGCGGUAGGGGAGAUUGGAAUUCCUGGUGUAGCGGUGGAAUGCGCAGAUAUCAGGAGGAACACCGGUGGCGAAGGCGGGUCUCUGGGCCGAUAUUGACGCUGAGGAGCGAAAGCGUGGGGAGCGAACAGG
rnacentral:rRNA from 1 species